CCUACGGGAGGCAGCAGUGAGGAAUAUUGGUCAAUGGACGCGAGUCUGAACCAGCCAAGUAGCGUGAAGGAUGACUGCCCUAUGGGUUGUAAACUUCUUUUAUAUGGGAAUAAAAUGUUCCACGUGUGGGAUUUUGUAUGUACCAUAUGAAUAAGAAUCGGCUAACUCCGUGCCAGCAGCCGCGGUAAUACGGAGGAUCCGAGCGUUAUCCGGAUUUAUUGGGUUUAAAGGGAGCGUAGGUGGAUUGUUAAGUCAGUUGUGAAAGUUUGCGGCUCAACCGUAAAAUUGCAGUUGAAACUGGCAGUCUUGAGUACAGUAGAGGUGGGCGGAAUUCGUGGUGUAGCGGUGAAAGGCUUAGAUAUCACGAAGAACUCCGAUUGCGAAGGCAGCUCACUGGACUGCAACUGACACUGAGGCUCGAAAGUGUGGGUAUCAAACAGGAUUAGAUACCCGUGUAGUC
rnacentral:rRNA from 1 species